UGGUGACAUGCUGCCUGUCUGUGUGCUUGUUUCAGAGUCAAAGAAUAUUCCAGACCCUGAGCUGGUGGUGAAGUUUGGUCCUGUGGACAGCACACUGGGCUUCCUCCCCUGGCACAUCAGACUCACUGAAUUCAUUUCGCUCCCCUCCCACAGAAACGUCUCCUAUGAGGACUUGUUGGGCGCCCUACAGCAGUACAGUGCCUGUCAGCAGCGGCUUGGCCAGUGACGUGCGGGUCGGCAUCAGGUUCUUCAGACAGGAGAAGUGUGGGGUUCACACAGUCAGAGGAGAGGACAGGUGGUGACACCUCCAUGCCUCGCUGUGUCUCUGACUCUGUCCAUCUCCUGGAUCUCUAUCAGACUAAGACUGCUCAAAGAUGUGGAAACCAGAAGACAACUCACUUCCUGCCACCAGCUCUUGUCUUAUAAUAAACUCACAUUCCAGGACUUCUGGAACGUGCUCUCCAAGCCAAGAGAAAAUAGCACAUCAGAGACACACACUGACAUGAGAAGACUGUCUGCACAGACUCAGUGUCCCACAAACCCUUUUCUGUCCUCUCAGACCCUCUUGCUCAUUGUUUGUCAUUCAGUCUCCAGCUGCUGUUUACUGCUGAACCCUUGCCUUCACUCAGCAGAUAACAAAGAAGAAAAGAGGCUUUGUGCCCAUCCUCAUGAGGCAUCCUGGGAAAUACAGCUGCACUGUAGGGAAAAGCUCAACUGCCAACAACAAGAGUAGAACAGCGGAAGUUGAGCACAGGGACAGGGUGGUUAAUACUGUGUAAAUAUGAGAAAUUAAUGUGGCUCUGUGUUUGUCCCUGUGGCCUCCAGCUUGCAGUCAUGUGUUCAUGUGUAGUGUUGCUUCAGACACAUACAGAGGUUGUUUAAGGUUCCUGUUAGUCUGAGCAAGGUCUGAAAUAAAGAAAUGCACUGUG